CUAGAAAAUUGAUAUUUGAAUUUAAAUUGUACUUUACAAAAUAUAAUUAACUUGUUUAUUUUAUAACGUAAAUUAGAAAUAAUUGAUUAAACUUAGCAAUAUGUUGAUAAAUAAUGUUUCUAAAUAUUUUUAAUAGAGUACAUUUGAUUUUAAAAUUAUCCUAUCCUCCAAUUUUAUCAAAAUAUCUAUUCAUAUCUAUCCAUAUUACUUUAUAAAAUCCCUAAUUCCUAAAUUCCCAAAUCAAACUCAGAAACCCUAAUUCCCAAAUUGAGGAACCCUAACCCUAGCUUCCCUUUGCCUCAGCUGCACCCCACCCUUCUUCAGCGUAACACACUCACCCCUCAUCUCAGCGCCGUUUCCCCCUUUCACUCACUUAGCUUCAUCCCUCAACCCUAGCAUUUUCUCCCAACGGUACAGAGAAGAGAGAAAGAAAUGAGAUUCGGAGAGUGAGAGAGAGCUCGUGUCCGAGAGUGAAGAGGAGAUGUAGCUCGCGUUGCUGCCUCCAUCACGACAAAACCGUCGUUCCUUGCUGCGCCGUCACCACCGUUCCAUGGAGCUAUCGCCGUCAUCCACGCGUUGCUGAGAGAAGCCCGCGACCAGCCUUGUCAUCGUCACCACCGCGGGUUGCCAUCGCCAUCCUCGCGAGCUGCCACCGCACCGCUGUUGUGGCACUCUGCUGCUGCCGCGUCUCACCAAGCCGCCGCUGGAGGAGGAAGGAUCGCCAGUUCUGCCUCUGCUUCUUGUUCCUAAAAUCUAAUAAGAACGCCACUGCCCUGCUGGAGUUGCUGUUGAACCAUUAGAACCACUACUAUUUUGCUGCCACCGAGGUCGCUGGUGCUUGUCAAUAGUACUAUUCUGGUUCUGAAUCGAUUAGUUCAUGCCACUGCUGCUGCUGAGAAGUGAUCAGAAAUGCUGCUGCUGUUGGUUCAGUUCAAGGUUGUUGUUACCACUGCAAAUUAAAAAUAAAAGAAGGCUUUGUUGCGUUUGAUUAUCGAAUUUCGGCUAGUCGAGUGACACAGGUUCGAAGACUCCGUUUGAAGCUGCAGGCGAUUAUAGAUCUUAUUUAUGGGUUAAGUUUAUGACUUGAGUUAUUUUCAUAGAAGUUCCCUCGCCCUUGUUGCUUAACAUUUUUAUUUUAUAAAGAGGGAUAGGAUUUGUAUGUGAGUUUUAUUUGAAAUCUUUUGUAUGACAGAUAUUAUUAUUAAUAAUUAUGUGAUUAUUAUUACUUGGUGAUGCUUGUUAUAUGAUUUGAUAAAUAAAAACAAAAUUUUCUGGUAUUUUUACUAAAACAAAAUCGCGAUAUUGAACUAAAGGCUCAAUAGUAAAUAGUUAAUAAAGGAAAGCAGGUUGAUAACACCUUACUUUCGGUACGAUCAUGACGUUCUGGAAGUUGGGUCGUUACACAUCGUCGUUGAUGUAUGCUCAGCCUACAAUGCCCUAAUAGGUUGGACAACGUUAAAUCAACUCAGCGCAAUAGUCUCGACUCCACAUCUAUGCAUGAAGUUCCCAACGACAGAAGGAAUAGCCACAGUAAAAGCAGACCAAAAAAUGGCACGUCGCUAUUAAAACAAAAGUCUAAACCUCAGUGGCAGAGGAGAAGAAUUCCUCACAAUCGAGCUCGGUGGAGUUCGGAGGCGAGAGAAACUCCGCCCACAACCUGAAGGAGAAAUAGAGACAAUCCAGAUCAGGAACACCCCGGACCAAAUAACCAACAUCGGCACACUUCUAAAAGGGGACAUGAAAGAAUCACUCAUAUAGUUCCUACGCGACAACGCCGACAUCUUUGUGUGGAAGGCCACAGACAUGCCAAGCAUAGAUCCUAAAUUAAUGUGCCACAAGCUAGCAGUCUACCCAGGAUCUCGCCUGGUACAACAAAGGCGCAGAAAGCUAGGACCAGAAUGCUCUCAAGCGAUGGAAGAAUAGGUACGAGCUCUACUGGAUGCAGGCUUCAUAAGAGAAGUCAAAUACCCGCUAUGGAUUGCUAAUGUCGUUUUAGUGAAAAAAGUCAAAUGGGAAGUGGAGAAUGUGCACUGACUAUACCGAUCUCAACAAAGCUUGCUCGAAAGAUCCUUAUCUGCUCCCAAACAUCGACGCACUAGUAGAUGCCUCCUCCGGAUACAAAUACCUCUCCUUUAUGAACGCAUACUCGGGAUAUAACCAAAUCCCAAUGUACCCACCCGACCAAGAAAAAACUCUUUCUUAACCCCAAAGGCAAAUUACUGCUACAUUGUUAUGCCCUUCGGUCUCAAGAACGCGGGAAAUUGACGACGUAACAUGGCGUUGAACGCCAAGUACAUGCUGCUGUCUGGAGUUAAACGGCAGAAACACGUCAUGAUCCGGAGUUGAACGCCCAAAACACGUUAUAACUUGGAGUUCAACUCCAAGAGAAGCCUCAGCUCGUGGAUAGAUCAAGCUCAGCCCAAACAUACACCAAGUGGGCCCCGGAAGUGGAUUUAUGCAUCAAUUAUUUACUCAUGUAAACCCUAGUAGCUAGUUUAGUAUAAAUAAGACUUUUUACUAUUGUAUUAGUCGUCUUUUGACCACGUUUCAUCUCUGGUCUCAGUUUUGUUUUAUUCUUCAUCUUAGGAGGCCAUUGAGCACGUUUUAGGGGGCUGGCCAUUCAGCCAUGCCUGAACCUUUCACUUAUGUAUUUUCAACAGUGGAGUUUCUACACACCAUAGAUUAAGGGUGUGGAGCUCUGCUGUACCUCAAGUUUCAAUACAAUUACUAUUACUUUUUAUUUUUAUUCCAUGAUAUACGUUGCACAACACUUUGAUGAAUGUGAUGAUCCGUGACACUCAUCAUCAUUCUCACCUAUGAACGCGCGUGACUGACAACCACUUUCGUUCUACUUUAGGCCGGGCGCAUAUCUCUUAGAUUCCCCAACAGAAUCUUCAUGGUAUAAGCUAGAUAGAUGGCGGCAUUCAUGAGGAUCCGGAAAGUCUAACCUUGUCUGUGGUAUUUCGAGUAGGAUCCUGGGAAUCCGGAAAGUCUGACCUUGUCUGUGGUAUUCUGAGUAGGAUUCUGGUAUUGAAUGACUGUGACGAGCUUCAAACUCCUGAAGGCUGGGCGUGAUGACAAACGCAAAAGAAUCAAUGGAUUCUACUCCAACCUGAUUGAGAACCGAUAUAUGAUUAGCCGUGCUGUGACAGAGCAUUUGGACCAUUUUCACUGAGAGGAUGGGAUGUAGCUAUCAACAAGGGUGAUGCCUCCAGACGAUUAGCCGUGCAGUGACAGCGCAUAGGACCAUUUUCCCGAGAGGAUUAAAAGUAUCCAUUGAUGAUGGUGAUGCCCUACAUACAGCUUGCCAUGGAAAGGAGUAAGAAGGAUUAGAUGAAUGUAAUAAAAAGUAGAGAUUCGAGAGGAGCACAGCAUCUCCAUACGCCUAUCUGAAAUUCCCACUAUUGAUCUACAUAAGUAUUUCUAUCCCUUUUUAUUUUCUAUUUAUUAUUAAUUUUCGAAAUCCAAAACCAUUUAAUCUGCCUAACUGAGAUUUACAAGGUGACCAUAGCUUGCUUCAUACCAACAAUCUCUGUGGGAUCGACCCUUACUCACGUAAGGUAUUACUUGGAUGACCCAGUACACUUGCUGGUUAAGUUG